rnacentral:snoRNA from 1 species
ACUGGAGGAGUAAUCAGACUGAGUCUGAAGAGUUGAGACUCAGAUGACAGUAGCCUCCUAAAAGAAAAGGGAUGGAGAGAGCAGUCCUGCUUACAGGAAAGCGAAGGGCUGACUGUGCCAUCCGACACUU